rnacentral:rRNA from 1 species
CUGGGUGUAAAGGGUGCGUAGGCGGCUUAGCAAGUCAGGCGUGAAAACUAUGGGCUUAACCCAUAGACUGCGUUUGAAACUGUUGAGCUUGAGUGAAGUAGAGGUAGGCGGAAUUCCCGGUGUAGCGGUGAAAUGCGUAGAGAUCGGGAGGAACACCAGUGGCGAAGGCGGCCUACUGGGCUUUAACUGACGCUGAGGCACGAAAGCAUGGGUAGCAAACAGGAUUAGAUACCCUGGUAGUCCAUGCCGUAAACGAUGAUUACUAGGUGUGGGGGGUCUGACCCCUUCCGUGCCGGAGUUAACACAAUAAGUAAUCCACCUGGGGAGUACGACCGCAAGGUUGAAACUCAAAGGAAUUGACGGGGGCCCGCACAAGCAGUGGAGUAUGUGGUUUAAUUCGAAGCAACGCGAAGAACCUUACCAGGUCUUGACAUCCUAGGAACGGCUAAGAGAUUAGCUGGUGCCUUUCGGGGAAUCUAGAGACAGGUGGUGCAUGGUUGUCGUCAGCUCGUGUCGUGAGAUGUUGGGUUAAGUCCCGCAACGAGCGCAACCCUUGUGAUUAGUUGCUACGCAAGAGCACUCUAAUCAGACUGCCGUUGACAAAACGGAGGAAGGUGGGGACGACGUCAAAUCAUCAUGCCCUUUAUGACCUGGGCUACACACGUACUACAAUGGUCGCUAACAGAGGGAAGCAAUACCGCGAGGUGGAGCAAAACCCCAAGAGCGAUCUCAGUUCGGAUUGUAGGCUGCAACUCGCCUACAUGAAGUUGGAAUUGCUAGUAAUCGCGGAUCAGAAUGCCGCGGUGAAUACGUUCCCGGGCCUUGUACACACCGCCCGUCACACCAUGGGAGCCGGUAAUACCCGAAGUCAGUAGUCUAACCGCAAGGAGGAC